AUUGAACGCUGGCGGCAGGCCUAACACAUGCAAGUCGAACGAGCGGCGCACGGGGGAGUGAUGUCUGGGAAACUGCCCGAUGUAGGGGGGUAACUACAGGACACGCUAGCUAAUACCCCACACCACCAGAUGUGCCCAGAUGGGAUUAGCUCGUAGGUGAGGGAAGGGCUCACCUAGGCGGCGAUCCCUAGCUGGUCUGAGAGGAUGACCAGCCACACUGGAACUGAGCAACGGUCCAGACUCCUACGGGAGGCAGCAGUGGGGAAUAUUGCACAAUGGGCGCAAGACUGAUGCAGCCAUGCCGCGUGUGUGAAGAAGGCCUUCGGGUUGUAAAGCACUUUCAGCGGGGAGGCGUUACCCGCAGAAGAAGCACCGGCUAACUCCGUGCCAGCAGCCGCGGUAAUAC
rnacentral:rRNA from 1 species